rfam:Hordeum vulgare subsp. vulgare, WGS project CAJW01000000 data, contig: morex_contig_224345
AUAUUACUCGCUCCAUCCGGAAUUACUUGUCGCAGAAAUGGAUGUAUCUAGAUGUAUUUUUUGUUUUAUAUACAUUCAUUUCUAUCCAUUUAUACGACAAGUAAUUCAGGACGGAAGGAGUACUAC